AUACGGAAGGUCCGGGCGUUAUCCGGAUUUAUUGGGUUUAAAGGGAGCGCAGGCGGAGAUGCAAGCGUGACGUCAAAUUUCGGGGCUCAACCCCGUCUCGCGUCGCGAACUGCGUCCCUUGGUUGCGGGAAGGGGAGGCGGAACUCGUGGUGUAGCGGUGAAAUACAUAGAUAUCACGAAGAACUCCGAUCGCGAAGGCAGCCUUCCGGCCCGUCAACGACGCUCAUGCUCGAAGGUGCGGGUAUCAAACAGGAUUAGAUACCCUGGUAGUCCGCACAGUAAACGAUGGACACCCGCGGUUUGGCCUGUAUGGCUGAGCCGCCAAGCGAAAGCGUUAAGUGUCCCACCUGGGGAGUACGCCGGCAACGGUGAAACUCAAAGGAAUUGACGGGG
rnacentral:rRNA from 1 species